GUGGACGUAGUUCAGUCGGUAGAGCACCAGUUUGUGGCACUGGGUGUCGCGGGUUCGAGCCCCGUCGUCCACCCCA
rnacentral:tRNA from 1 species